AAUACAAUUCUCUUUGUCCUCGACCAUUUCACAGGUUUCCAGCAGAUGCUGAAAAACGACAAAAAUGGUUUGAUAAUAUUGGUUACACUGGUUACAGUAUCAAUAAUUACAAGUAUGCAAGAAUCUGUAGUGAUCAUUUUACGCAGGAUGACUAUUACGAUACUGGUACACCCAACAAAAUCAUAAGAUUAAAGAAAACUGCAAUUCCGUCUGUUUUUACACAAAGAGAUGUGAAGAAAGA